ACCCAACACUGGCACUGCCGUACACUCACCAAUAAUUACACACACGAUACAGUCCGAGGGACGAAAAACGCCGGUUGACUGCUCAUGGUAUUGAGAAAGUAUGGAUACACGAAUUAAAACGAUCCAAGCUACAACGGUAGCACCUGUUGACCGGGCAUUACCUUUUAACACAAACUACCACAAAUAGACAUGGGGGGGAGCAGAAUAGGUUCACACACCCCCMAUGUUUCAACCUAUGAAACCAUAAAAAGAACGAGAUAACACGACGUACAAUAAAAAUAGCAACUCACGAGUUUAUCAAAAUGCCCACAACAGGUASGAUUUYUAAGAGACCUUCCUAAGGUAAACCCGAAARAUCAAAUAACGAACCAAAACGGUCGUGUAGAGUUUUUUCCGGAUGUACUCAGCACCGAGACGAAAUHCUUACGUUUCUGCAGUAAUACAUCCACGUAUUUUUUUGCACGAUGGACCAACUAGGACGGUCAUCAG
rnacentral:misc_RNA from 1 species